rnacentral:rRNA from 1 species
CCCUUAGAUGUUCUGGGCCGCACGCGUGCUACACUGAACGGUUCAAUGGGUGAGGUAGUGCGAAAGCAUGACCCAAUCUCUAAAUCCGUUCGUGCUGGGGAUAGAAGCUUGCGAUUAUCCUUCUUGAACGAGGAAUACCUUGUAGGCGUGAGUCAUCAUCUCGCGCCGAAUACGUCCCUGCCCUUUGUACACACCGCCCGUCGCUCCUACCGAUUGAGUGGUCCGGUGAGGCUUUGGGAGGACUGGAUGGAUUGUGUUUCACAAACUAUUCGGGCUGAACUUAGUCAAACCUUAUCACUUAGAGGAAGGAGAAGUCGUAACA